rnacentral:rRNA from 1 species
CGCGAGGUAGAGCAAAUCUCAAAAAAACAAUCUCAGUUCAGACUGCAGGCUGCAACUCGCCUGCACGAAGUCGGAAUUGCUAGUAAUCGUAGGUCAGCAUACUACGGUGAAUACGUUCCCGGGCCUUGUACACACCGCCCGUCAAACCAUGAGAGUUGGCAACACCCGAAGUCGGUAGUCUAACCGCAAGGAGGACGCCGCCGAAGGUGGGGUUGAUGAUUAGGGUUAAGUCGUAACAAGGUAAC